rnacentral:rRNA from 1 species
UUGAACGCUGGCGGCAGGCCUAACACAUGCAAGUCGAACGGUAACAGGAAGCAGCUUGCUGCUUCGCUGACGAGUGGCGGACGGGUGAGUAAUGUCUGGGAAACUGCCUGAUGGAGGGGGAUAACUACUGGAAACGGUAGCUAAUACCGCAUAACGUCGCAAGACCAAAGAGGGGGACCUUAGGGCCUCUUGCCAUCGGAUGUGCCCAGAUGGGAUUAGCUAGUAGGUGGGGUAACGGCUCACCUAGGCGACGAUCCCUAGCUGGUCUGAGAGGAUGACCAGCCACACUGGAACUGAGACACGGUCCAGACUCCUACGGGAGGCAGCAGUGGGGAAUAUUGCACAAUGGGCGCAAGCCUGAUGCAGCCAUGCCGCGUGUAUGAAGAGGGCCUUCGGGUUGUAAAGUACUUUCAGCGGGGAGGAAGGGAGUAAAGUUAAUACCUUUGCUCAUUGACGUUACCCGCAGAAGAAGCACCGGCUAACUCCGUG